GCCUACGGGAGGCAGCAGUAGGGAAUUUUCGUCAAUGGGCGCAAGCCUGAACGAGCAAUGCCGCGUGAACGAGGAAGGUCUUCGGAUCGUAAAGUUCUGUUGAAGGGGAAGAAGAGCGGAGAGAGGAAAUGCUUUCUGAUUGAUAUUACCCUUCGAGGAAGUCACGGCUAACUACGUGCCAGCAGCCGCGGUAAUACGUAGGUGGCGAGCGUUAUCCGGAAUGAUUGGGCGUAAAGGGUGCGUAGGCGGCCUGCUAAGUCUGGAGUGAAAGGUACCGGCUCAACCGGUACAGGCUCUGGAAACUG
rnacentral:rRNA from 1 species